AGUUUGAUUAUGGCUCAGAUUGAACGCUGGCGGGAUGCUUUACACAUGCAAGUCGAACGGGCAGCACGACUCUCGGUCUGGUGGCGAGUGGCGAACGGGUGAGUAAUGUAUCGGAACGUGCCUAGUAGCGGGGAUAACCACGGCGAAAGGUGGCGCAUUACCGCAUACACCCUUCGGGAAAGCGGGGACCUCUUCGGGCCUCGCACUAUUAGAGCGGCCGAUAUCGGAUUAGCUAGUUGGUGGGGUAACGGCUCACCAAGGGCGACGAUCCGUAGCUGGUCGAGGAGGACGACCAGCCACAUCAGACUGGAGAUACAGCCCAGACUCCUACGGGAGGCAGCAGUGGGGAAUUUUGGAUUAAUGGGGAAACUCCUGAUCCAGCCAUCCUGCAAGAUGAAGGCCUUCGGGUUGUAAAGCACUUUUGGCAGGUACGAAACGGCACGGAUAAUACCCAGCAACUGGACGGUACCUGCAGAAUAGCACCGGUUAACCACGCCGUUGCAGCCGCGUAAUAUGUAGGGCAAUGCUAAUCGGAAUUACUGGGCGUAAGCGUGCGCAGGCGGUUCGGAAAGAAAGAUGUGAAUCCAGAGCUAGAACUUUGGAACUGCAUUUUUAAUCAUCAGAGCUAGAGUGUGUCAGAGGGAGGUGGAAUUCGCGUGUAGUAAGUGAAAUGCGUAGAUAUGCGAGUGAACACGAUGGCGAAGGUGGCCUCCGGGAUAACACUGACGCUCAUGCAUCAGUGGGGAGCAAACAGGAUUAGAUAUUCUGGUAGUCCACGCCCUAAACGAUGUCAACUAGCUGUUGGGGCCUUCGGGCCUUGGUAGCGCAGCUAACGCGUGAAGUUGACCGCCUGGGGAGUAAUGGUCGCAAGAUUAAAACUCAAAGGAAUUGAUUUAGACCCGCACAAGCGGUGGAUGAUGUGGAUUAAUUCGAUGAACGCGAAAACCUUACCUACUCCUUGACAUGUCUGGAAUCCCGAAGUGAUUUGGGAGUGCUCGCAAGAGAACCGGAACACAGGUGUUGCAUGGCUGUCGUCAGCCUGUCGCAGAUGUUGGGUUAAGUCCUGCAACGAGCGCAACCCCUGUCAUUAGUUGCUACGAAAGGGCACUCUAAUGAGACUGCCGGUGACAAACCGGAGGAAGGUGUAUUACGACGUCAAGUCCUCAUGGCCUUAUGGGUAGGGCUUCAUCGUCAUACAAUGGUCGGGACAGAGGUCGCCAACUCGCGAGGGGGAGCCAUCCUGUGAAACCCGAUCGUAGUCCGAUCGCAGGUCUGCAACCUGACUGCAGUCAACUUAUAAUCGCGGAUCAGCAUGUCGCGGUGAAUACGUUCCCGGGUCUUGCAUACACCGCCCGUCACACCAUGGGAGUGGUUUCACCAGGCGGAAGUUAGCCUAAACUAAGGAGGGCGAUUACCACGUAGGAUUCAUGACUGGGGUGAAGUCGUACAAGGUAGCUCUGAAAGAGCUACCUGAUG
rnacentral:rRNA from 1 species